UGUUUUAAUAAUUUAAAAAAAAUAAUGAUCUUGUAAAUCAUAAAUAGAUUGUUAUCUUUAAAACU
rnacentral:tRNA from 1 species